rnacentral:rRNA from 1 species
UGGGGAAUCUUGGACAAUGGGCGCAAGCCUGAUCCAGCAAUGCCGCGUGAGUGAUGAAGGCCUUAGGGUUGUAAAGCUCUUUUUACCAGGGAUGAUAAUGGCAGUACCUGGAGAAUAAGCUCCGGCUAACUCCGUGCCAGCAGCCGCGGUAAUACGGAGGGAGCUAGCGUUGUUCGGAAUUACUGGGCGUAAAGCGUACGUAGGCGGUGACUCAAGUCAGAGGUGAAAGCCUGGAGCUCAACUCCAGAAUUGCCUUUGAAACUAGGUCGCUAGAAUCACGGAGAGGUGAGUGGAAUUCCGAGUGUAGAGGUGAAAUUCGUAGAUAUUCGGAAGAACACCAGUGGCGAAGGCGACUGACUGGACAAGUAUUGACGCUGAGGUACGAAAGCGUGGGGAG